rnacentral:rRNA from 1 species
ACCAGACUCCUACGGGAGGCAGCAGUGGGGGAUAUUGCACAAUGGGGGAAGCCCUGAUGCAGCGACGCCGCGUGGGUGAAGAAGUAUUUCGAUAUGUAAAGCACUAUCAGCAGGGAAGAAAGAAGACGGUACCUGACUAAGAAGCCCCGGCUAACUACGUGCCAGCAGCCGCGGUAAUACGUAGGGGGCGAGCGUUAUCCGGAUUCACUGGGUGUAAAGGGAGCGUAGACGGCCGUGCAAGCCAGGAGUGAAAGCCCGGGGCCCAACCCCGGGACUGCUCUUGGAACUGUGCGGCUGGAGUGCGGGAGGGGCAGGCGGAAUUCCUGGGGUAGCGGUGAAAUGCGUAGAUAUCAGGAGGAACGCCGGCGGCGAAGGCGGCCUGCUGGACCGCGACUGACGUUGAGGCUCGAAAGCGUGGGGAGCGAACAGGAUUAGAUACCCCGGUAC